UGGCGCCAAAUGGGCGCGGUGGAAACUCAGCCUUGGAGGAUGAGCGGGAUUCUGAGCGGAGGGGAUGGGACAACCGUCCCCCUGGGGACUGUCACAGAGGGAGCCUCCAGUCCAGGCACGGAAAGGACAGCAAGGAUGGGUGCCCAGGGCUGCACAGAGCCCAGUAAAAUCAGGAGGCAGGAGGCUCAGGAAACAUCGUGGGCAUCGUUGGGGGUCCUGGGGACUCAGGGAACAGCUUGGCCUCUGAAGUGACAUCAGCCCAGAGCAGGGGCUGAGGAGCCGCAGGACAGCGGGUGCGUGGCAGCCGGAGCCCACAGGCCGGGAGCUCUGCACUAGCCCAAGGGCCACGGGAGGAAGCCGUGACAGUGAGGUCCCAGAGGGGCGAGGUCCGCAGAGACCCCCAGCACUCCCGAGAGCCGGCCAGCCCGAAGGCCGGACUUGGCGAGCUAUCAGGAGGUUGGCAUCUCAUGGUCCCCUCUGGACAGAGAGACACUGAGGCCCAGGCCUCGCCGCGGUGAGGGAGACUUCCAGACCACCCGGGUGGGCCUGGCUUAAUCCGGUGGGGGCCUUCGAGCAGGGCUGAGGCUUCCCUGCGGCAGAAGAAACACCCCAGGGACAAGACUCCACGAGGCCCUCCCUGCACUGGCACCUGGACUUGCCUGGCCAGCACCCAGGUAUGAGCUGGUCCCGGCGGUGACCUCGGUCUCGCCCGACUCUGCUGGACCCUGCCCCACAC